UACGAAGGGGGCUAGCGUUGCUCGGAAUCACUGGGCGUAAAGGGUGCGUAGGCGGACUUUUAAGUCAGGGGUGAAAGCCUGAGGCUCAACCUCAGAACUGCCUUUGAUACUGAGAGUCUCGAGACCGGAAGAGGUAAGUGGAACUGCGAGUGUAGAGGUGAAAUUCGUAGAUAUUCGCAAGAACACCAGUGGCGAAGGCGGCUCACUGGCCCGGUACUGACGCUGAGGCACGAAAGCGUGGGGAGCAAACAGG
rnacentral:rRNA from 1 species